rnacentral:rRNA from 1 species
AUUGAACGCUGGCGGCAGGCCUAACACAUGCAAGUCGAGCGGAUGAAGGGAGCUUGCUCCUGGAUUCAGCGGCGGACGGGUGAGUAAUGCCUAGGAAUCUGCCUGGUAGUGGGGGAUAACGUCCGGAAACGGGCGCUAAUACCGCAUACGUCCUGAGGGAGAAAGUGGGGGAUCUUCGGACCUCACGCUAUCAGAUGAGCCUAGGUCGGAUUAGCUAGUUGGUGGGGUAAAGGCCUACCAAGGCGACGAUCCGUAACUGGUCUGAGAGGAUGAUCAGUCACACUGGAACUGAGACACGGUCCAGGCUCCUACGAGAGGCAGCAGUGGGGAAUAUUGGACAAUGGGCGAAAGCCUGAUCCAGCCAUGCCGCGUGUGUGAAGAAGGUCUUCGGAUUGUAAAGCACUUUAAGUUGGGAGGAAGGGCAGUAAGUUAAUACCUUGCUGUUUUGACGUUACCAACAGAAUAAGCACCGGCUAACUUCGUG